GGGUAGUUUGACUGGGGCGGUCUCCUCCUAAAGAGUAACGGAGGAGCACGAAGGUUGGCUAAUCCUGGUCGGACAUCAGGAGGUUAGUGCAAUGGCAUAAGCCAGCUUGACUGCGAGCGUGACGGCGCGAGCAGGUGCGAAAGCAGGUCAUAGUGAUCCGGUGGUUCUGAAUGGAAGGGCCAUCGCUCAACGGAUAAAAGGUACUCCGGGGAUAACAGGCUGAUACCGCCCAAGAGUUCAUAUCGACGGCGGUGUUUGGCACCUCGAUGUCGGCUCAUCACAUCCUGGGGCUGAAGUAGGUCCCAAGGGUAUGGCUGUUCGCCAUUUAAAGUGGUACGCGAGCUGGGUUUAGAACGUCGUGAGACAGUUCGGUCCCUAUCUGCCGUGGGCGCUGGAGAACUGAGGGGGGCUGCUCCUAGUACGAGAGGACCGGAGUGGACGCAUCACUGGUGUUCGGGUUGUCAUGCCAAUGGCACUGCCCGGUAGCUAAAUGCGGAAGAGAUAAGUGCUGAAAGCAUCUAAGCACGAAACUUGCCCCGAGAUGAGUUCUCCCUGACUCCCUGAGAGUCCUGAAGGAACGUUGAAGACGACGACGUUGAUAGGCCGGGUGUGUAAG
rnacentral:rRNA from 1 species